rnacentral:rRNA from 1 species
AGAGUUUGAUCAUGGCUCAGAUUGAACGCUGGCGGCAUGCCUUACACAUGCAAGUCGAACGGCAGCACGGACUUCGGUCGGGUGGCGAGUGGCGAACGGGUGAGUAAUACAUCGGAACGUGUCCUGGAGUGGGGGAUAGCCCGGCGAAAGCCGGAUUAAUACCGCAUACGCUCUGAGGAGGAAAGCGGGGGAUCUUCGGACCUCGCGCUCAAGGGGCGGCCGAUGGCAGAUUAGCUAGUUGGUGGGGUAAAGGCCUACCAAGGCGACGAUCUGUAGCUGGUCUGAGAGGACGACCAGCCACACUGGGACUGAGACACGGCCCAGACUCCUACGGGAGGCAGCAGUGGGGAAUUUUGGACAAUGGGCGCAAGCCUGAUCCAGCAAUGCCGCGUGUGUGAAGAAGGCCUUCGGGUUGUAAAGCACUUUUGUCCGGAAAGAAAACCUCUGCCCUAAUACGGCGGGGGGAUGACGGUACCGGAAGAAUAAGCACCGGCUAACUACGUGCCAGCAGCCGCGGUAAUACGUAGGGUGCAAGCGUUAAUCGGAAUUACUGGGCGUAAAGCGUGCGCAGGCGGUCCGUUAAGACAGAUGUGAAAUCCCCGGGCUUAACCUGGGAACUGCAUUUGUGACUGGCGGACUCGAGUAUGGCAGAGGGGGGUAGAAUUCCACGUAGCAGUGAAAUGCGUAGAGAUGUGGAGGAAUACCGAUGGCGAAGGCAGCCCCCUGGGCCAAUACUGACGCUCAUGCACGAAAGCGUGGGGAGCAAACAGGAUUAGAUACCCUAGUAGUCC